GACGUAGGGCGCGAGCGUUGUCCGGAUUUAUUGGGCGUAAAGAGCUCGUAGGCGGCUCGUUGCGUCGGCUGUGAAAACCCGCAGCUCAACUGUGGGCUUGCAGCUGAUACGGGCGGGCUGGGAUUCGGUAGGGGAGACUGGAAUUCCUGGUGUAGCGGUGAAAUGCGUAGAUAUCGGGAGGAACACCGAGUGGCGAAGGCGACUACCUGGCCUGUCUUGACGCUGAGGCGCGAAAGCUAGGGGAGCAACGGG
rnacentral:rRNA from 1 species